ACGCUUUCCCGAGUCCUUAGCGAUCAUGCGGUUGUGAUUGUCGACGAUAUUGCGCAAGACGAGUGGAUGAACGACCACUUUCUCGAUCCUACUUGCUGAUUGCGUCGUCGUCAUUAGUAGUAACUCGAUUUCUCUGGGGAACUUCCGAAACUUUGCUUUUUCAACUACUUCUUCUACUCUUUCUCUCGUGCUUUUAUCUCUCUUUUAUGGGCCGCACUUGUAGUACAUUAAUAAGCUUCUUAGAGCACCAUUAACUGGGGUACUUAAUAGUUUUUGGAUUUAACAAAAAAAGAAAAUCUCCUAUAUAUUAAUUUAUGGAUUUAACCAAAAAACAGAAUCUCCUAUAUAUUAAAAGAGAAUCAUUACAACAUAUUUUUGUAGCCACAUGUCAUCACCACAAUCAUUCUUAGAAUCCUUAGAAAAAUAUGUUGGUCCAUAUAAAUAUAUAAUAAGCUUUUUAUUAAAUUAACCAUAAAUUAAUCAUAAAUGUUCUUCAUUGUUUCCUUAAAUAAAAAUCACGGAAUUACCUAAUGUAGCUAAAGUAUAUAUGACAAUUAAUGAUUUUGAAUAAUAAAGAUUUGAUAAAAAUCAGUCUAUUCUUUAUCAUUUUUAAUUUAUUUUAAAAUAAAUUAAACAACCACAUUAACUAUAUAAUAAAAAUCAAGAUUUUUUUCGUAUAUGUUAUGUUUUGAAUUCUAAAAAACGAAUAUAAAUGACUAAAGUUGUUAAAAAUCUCACACUCAAAUUUUUGUGAUCCAUGGUUUAAAAUUUAUGUUAUAAUAAGAUAUAUAUAAUUACGAAAUUGCAUAAGUAGAAAGUCUCAUUUAAUAAAUAUUAUAUAUAUGCAUAUUAAUUUUUUUUUUAAAUAAAGUAUAUGCCAUAUAAAAUACAUAAGUAUUUUAAUUUCGAAUUUGAUGUGAAAUUUUUGAUAAACAUUUUGAAAAAUUAUUGACAACUUAAUAUUUAGAUUUUAAACUUUGCAUUGAAUGUUUUUAAAAUUAUAAAUUACUAAAACUAUUAAACAUCCCAUAAAUUGUUUAUUGUUAUCAUUGAUUUAAAAUUUUUGUUAUAAAGAAAUACAAACGAUCAAAAAUAAUAUGAGUAUAAAAUAUUUUUUUAACAGAUGUCAAUAUUAAAAAUAUACUAUAUAUCUAUGUUAAUAUUUUAAACUUAAUUUUAUAACAUAUAAAAUAGAAAAAAGUGUUUAUCUUGAUAAAUAAAAUUUAUUUAAGUAUUUGUACCAAUUUAAUUAAAUACGUAAUAGUUAUUAAAUUUUUAAUUACUCAAUAUAUAUUUAUUAUUUCAUAAUAUGUAAAAAAUAUAUAAUACUUAAAAAUAAUUUAUUUAUAAUAUUCAUCCUGCGCAAGACGCGGAUCUUAAUCUAGUACAUAAUAAAAUAAGAAGUGCUACUUGAGGGGUGCUUAAUUAAGCUGUUGAAGAAGUGGUGCUUGAGGGGUGCUUAAUCAUAUAUUAGUAAAAAACUGAUUAAACAACCCGUUAGAGGUGCUAUGGUUAAAAAUGGUCUUAUAUCUUCUCAGUCACUUUGAUAUACUAGAUGGUUUUCACCUCGCGCAAGCGCGGGGUUAGUGGGUUUUCUAUGUCAUUUAGUUAUAAGUGCAUGAUAUAUACAGUUUGCGUCUAUACGCCUUAAAUUGUUUUAUAAUUUGCAUGUACUUGCAAGGUCAUACUAUUUGUAUGUGUUAUAUUUGUGUUUUGUACGUUUUUUGGUAUUUGUAAUUCCUUUUCAUAUAUUGAUGGCACAUAUAUGAUUAAUAUGUUAAGUUUUGUACCGUAUAACUUUAUGUUCUUCUAGUCUUAUCUUAAUCUUUUCCUAUGAAUAAAUUGCAGGUACCUGCGUACAGCUCUGAGCCGGAGGUCAAAACGGUGUGAAUGUUAAUUAGAAUAUUAGAAUCAUGUAAUGUCACAUUAAAA
rnacentral:lncRNA from 1 species